GGGCCCGCACAAGCGGAGGAACAUGUGGUUUAAUUCGAUGAUACGCGAGGAACCUUACCCGGGCUCGAACGGUGCAUGAAUGUUCAAGAGAUUGGAUAGUCCUUCGGGACAUGUAUCGAGGUGCUGCAUGGUUGUCGUCAGCUCGUGCCGUGAGGUGUCGGCUUAAGUGCCAUAACGAGCGCAACCCUUGUCAUUAGUUACCAUCAGGCAAAGCUGGGGACUCUAAUGAGACUGCCACCGUAAGGUGUGAGGAAGGGGGGGAUGACGUCAAAUCAGCACGGCCCUUAUGUCCGGGGCGACACACGUGUUACAAUGGGGGGUACAGAGGGCAGCCAUCCGGUGACGGAGCGCUAAUCUCCAAAACCCUUCUCAGUUCGGAUUGGAGUCUGCAACCCGACUCCAUGAAGUUGGAUUCGCUAGUAAUCGCGCAUCAGCCAUGGCGCGGUGAAUACGUUCCCGGGCCUU
rnacentral:rRNA from 1 species